GCAAGUCGAGCGGUAGCACAGAGAGCUUGCUCUCGGGUGACGAGCGGCGGACGGGUGAGUAAUGUCUGGGAAACUGCCUGAUGGAGGGGGAUAACUACUGGAAACGGUAGCUAAUACCGCAUAACGUCGCAAGACCAAAGUGGGGGACCUUCGGGCCUCAUGCCAUCAGAUGUGCCCAGAUGGGAUUAGCUAGUAGGUGGGGUAACGGCUCACCUAGGCGACGAUCCCUAGCUGGUCUGAGAGGAUGACCAGCCACACUGGAACUGAGACACGGUCCAGACUCCUACGGGAGGCAGCAGUGGGGAAUAUUGCACAAUGGGCGCAAGCCUGAUGCAGCCAUGCCGCGUGUGUGAAGAAGGCCUUCGGGUUGUAAAGCACUUUCAGCGGGGAGGAAGGCGUUAAGGUUAAUAACCUUGGCGAUUGACGUUACCCGCAGAAGAAGCACCGGCUAACUCCGUGCCAGCAGCCGCGGUAAUACGGAGGGUGCAAGCGUUAAUCGGAAUUACUGGGCGUAAAGCGCACGCAGGCGGUCUGUCAAGUCGGAUGUGAAAUCCCCGGGCUCAACCUGGGAACUGCAUUCGAAACUGGCAGGCUAGAGUCUUGUAGAGGGGGGUAGAAUUCCAGGUGUAGCGGUGAAAUGCGUAGAGAUCUGGAGGAAUACCGGUGGCGAAGGCGGCCCCCUGGACAAAGACUGACGCUCAGGUGCGAAAGCGUGGGGAGCAAACAGGAUUAGAUACCCUGGUAGUCCACGCCGUAAACGAUGUCGAUUUGGAGGUUGUGCCCUUGAGGCGUGGCUUCCGGAGCUAACGCGUUAAAUCGACCGCCUGGGGAGUACGGCCGCAAGGUUAAAACUCAAAUGAAUUGACGGGGGCCCGCACAAGCGGUGGAGCAUGUGGUUUAAUUCGAUGCAACGCGAAGAACCUUACCUGGUCUUGACAUCCACAGAACUUUCCAGAGAUGGAUUGGUGCCUUCGGGAACUGUGAGACAGGUGCUGCAUGGCUGUCGUCAGCUCGUGUUGUGAAAUGUUGGGUUAAGUCCCGCAACGAGCGCAACCCUUAUCCUUUGUUGCCAGCGGUCCGGCCGGGAACUCAAAGGAGACUGCCAGUGAUAAACUGGAGGAAGGUGGGGAUGACGUCAAGUCAUCAUGGCCCUUACGACCAGGGCUACACACGUGCUACAAUGGCAUAUACAAAGAGAAGCGACCUCGCGAGAGCAAGCGGACCUCAUAAAGUAUGUCGUAGUCCGGAUUGGAGUCUGCAACUCGACUCCAUGAAGUCGGAAUCGCUAGUAAUCGUAGAUCAGAAUGCUACGGUGAAUACGUUCCCGGGCCUUGUACACACCGCCCGUCACACCAUGGGAGUGGGUUGCAAAAGAAGUAGGUAGCUUAACCUUCGGGAGGGC
rnacentral:rRNA from 1 species